UAGUACAUACCUUAAAACGGUGAAACCGCGAAUGGCUCAUUAAAUCAGCUAUGGUUCCUUAGAUCGUACAUACUACAUGGAUAACUGUAGUAAUUCUAGAGCUAAUACAUGCAACUAUGCCCUGACCCCCAAAGGAACGGGUGCAUUUAUUAGAACAGAACCAACCGGAUGUGGCUUCGGCUGCAUUCGUUGCAAUCUGUGAUGACUCUGGAUAACUUUUCUGAUCGCAGUCGGCCUUGUGUCGGCGACGGAUCUUUCAAAUGUCUGCCCUAUCAAUUUUCGAUGGUAGGUGACCUGCCUACCAUGGUUAUAACGGGUAACGGGGAAUCAGGGUUCGAUUCCGGAGAGGGAGCCUGAGAAACGGCUACCACUUCCAAGGAAGGCAGCAGGCACGCAAAUUACCCAAUCCCGGCACGGGGAGGUAGUGACGAAAAAUACGGAUACGGGUCUUAUUUGAGGCUCCGUAAUUCGAAUGAGUACAAUUUAAAUCCUUUAACGAGGAUCAACUGGAGGGCAAGUCUGGUGCCAGCAGCCGCGGUAACUCCAGCUCCAGAAGCGUAUAUUAAAGUUGUUGCAGUUAAAAAGCUCGUAGUUGGAUCUGGGUCGCAUGGCUACAUGCCGUAUCUCGUUUUCGGUCCGGUUUCGAUCGGUCGAUUAUGGGUCGGUGUCGGUUGUGCAGCCUUUCUGCCGUGUCUGUUUCGACAGGUGUUGAUUGUACUGGUGAGCUAGUCUUGCUGGUCUGUUGACAUGCUUCCGUAUGCCUUUAAACGGGUGUCGGGGGCGGACGGCACGUUUACUUUGAACAAAUUUGAGUGCUCAAAGCAGGCCUAUGUGCCUGAAAAUUCUUGCAUGGAAUAAUGGAAUAGGACUUCGGUUCUAUUUGGUGGGUUUCGGAUCCGAAGUAAUGGUUAAGAGGGACAGACGGGGG
rnacentral:rRNA from 1 species